AUAAAACCCCCACAUGCGACAGCUGAAGAGGAAGGAAACACUUAAUCAUCAGAGCAGCUUGUAGAUGAAGACCAAGAACUCUGGCGCCGGAUGUGUCCCCCGUGUAAAAACCAACUCCAGAGCCACUGGUAAUCGGGAGACUAGUGAUCUGAAUCUCCUGGACCGUUUUCGCGAAGCUGUUCUCCGCCUCAUCAUGAUAUCUGCUGUCUCCAAGUCCACAUCUCGCCGUCAUAACAGACAGACGCCAAUCCAAAAGUACUACAACCCCACUGAUACUUAUCACAGCGAAGCCGUGGCUGACUGUAUCGAGUUUAUCAGAACCAAGAAGGCCAUCAUCCACCAGGAAAACGUCCCCUAACACCCUCACUUCUUAUAUUCUUCAUUGUCACCUCUUGUUUGAUUAGCAAAUUAUAAAUUGGUGGAAUAAAAG